rnacentral:rRNA from 1 species
UACACGACCGUACCGCAAACCGACACUGGUGCGCGAGAUGAGUAUUCUAAGGCGCUUGAGAGAACUCAGGAGAAGGAACUCGGCAAAUUGACACCGUAACUUCGGAAGAAGGUGUGCCUUUAGUAGGUGAAGUCCCUCGCGGAUGGAGCCCAAUGAGGUUGCAAAAAAUCGGUGGCUGCGACUGUUUAUUAAAAACACAGCACUCUGCAAACACGAAAGUGGACGUAUAGGGUGUGACGCCUGCCCGGUGCUGGAAGAUUAAAUGAUGGGGUGCAAGCUCUUGAUUGAAGUCCCAGUAAACGGCGGCCGUAACAAUAACGGUCCUAAGGUAGCGAAAUUCCUUGUCGGGUAAGUUCCGACCUGCACGAAUGGCGUAACGAUGGCCACACUGUCUCCUCCUGAGACUCAGCGAAGUUGAAAUGUUUGUGAUGAUGCAAUCUCCCCGCGGAAAGACGGAAAGACCCCAUGAACCUUUACUGUAGCUUUGUAUUGGACUUUGAACAGAUCUGUGUAGGAUAGGUGGGAGGCUUUGAAGCAGGGUCGCUAGAUCUUGUGGAGCCAACGUUGAAAUACCACCCUGGUGUGUUUGAGGUUCUAACCUAGGCCCGUAAUCCGGGUUGGGGACAGUGCAUGGUAGGCAGUUUGACUGGGGCGGUCUCCUCCCAAAGUGUAACGGAGGAGUUCGAAGGUACGCUAGUUACGGUCGGACAUCGUGACGAUAGUGCAAUGGCAUAAGCGUGCUUAACUGCGAGACUGACAAGUCGAGCAGAUGCGAAAGCAGGACAUAGUGAUCCGGUGGUUCUGUAUGGAAGGGCCAUCGCUCAACGGAUAAAAGGUACUCUGGGGAUAACAGGCUGAUACCGCCCAAGAGUUCAUAUCGACGGCGGUGUUUGGCACCCCGAUGUCGGCUCAUCUCAUCCUGGGGCUGUAGCCGGUCCCAAGGGUAUGGCUGUUCGCCAUUUAAAGAGGUACGUGAGCUGGGUUUAAAACGUCGUGAGACAGUUUGGUCCCUAUCUUCCGUGGGCGCUGCAGAUUUGAGGAAGCCUGCUCCUAGUACGAGAGGACCGGAGUGGACGCACCUCUGGUGUAUCGGUUGUCACGCCAGUGGCAUUGCCGAGUAGCUAUGUGCGGAAGAGAUAACCGCUGAAAGCAUCUAAGCGGGAAACUCGUUUCAAGAUGAGAUCUGCCGGGGCCUUGAGCCCCCUGAAGAGUCGUUCAAGACCAGGACGUUGAUAGGUCGGGUGUGGAAGCGCAGUAAUGCGUUAAGCUAACCGAUACUAAUUGCUCGUGCGGCUUGACCAA